UGGGGAAUAUUGCACAAUGGGCGAAAGCCUGAUGCAGCAACGCCGCGUGAGUGAUGAAGGCCUUCGGGUUGUAAAGCUCUGUCUUUUGGGACGAUAAUGACGGUACCAAAGGAGGAAGCCACGGCUAACUACGUGCCAGCAGCCGCGGUAAUACGUAGGUGGCAAGCGUUGUCCGGAUUUACUGGGCGUAAAGGAUGCGUAGGCGGAUUUUUAAGUGAGAUGUGAAAACCCUAAGCUUAACUUGGGGACUGCAUUUCAUACUGGAAAUCUAGAGUGCGGGGGAGGAGAAUGGAAUUCCUAGUGUAGCGGUGAAAUGCGUAGAGAUUAGGAAGAACACCAGUGGCGAAGGCGAUUCUCUGGACCGUAACUGACGCUGAGGCAUGAAAGCGUGGGUAGCAAACAGGAUUAGAUACCCUGGUAGUCCACGCCGUAAACGAUGAGUACUAGGUGUAGGAGGUAUCGACCCCUUCUGUGCCGCAGUUAACACAAUAAGUACUCCGCCUGGGAAGUACGAUCGCAAGAUUAAAACUCAAAUGAAUUGACGGGGUCAUAGCUG
rnacentral:rRNA from 1 species